GGGGAGGGCUGUGUCAAGGGACCCUGUUAGGUCUGAAGGUCGCCCCACAGGUCACCCGGGCACACACGUAGAGCGCCCCGGGCCCCAUGGCAACGCAGCACAGAGACAUCAAACAGGGAGGCCCCACGUCACUGCGGUUAGGGAGGCUCCUCCCCACUGGCUGGCGGCUAGCGCCUCAGGCCGUCAGGCAGCCCGCCUCCUGUCGCCGUGGCGACCGACUGUGUUGUGGACUGUCCCGGGCCCACCAGAUCCCUGCCCCCUCGCUGGGGCACUGCCGCUCCCCCGCAUCCGGGGAGGGCGCCCAGCUCUGUCAUUCAGCUGCCGGUAUGGGGCCUAGUGUAGGGCAGUAUGGCCUGCAAUUUGCCACUUAGAGGGGUCCCCUGGAGAUGAACAGUGUUGCCAGAGUCGCUACAGGGUUGGGUUGCCAUUCAUGGCCCCAAGGUGGGUAGUUACCAGGGCUCUGUUGAGGUGGGUGACACAGUAGUGGCCUCAAGGAUAGGUAGCUACCAGUUGGGAUAGGUGACACACAGGAGUGGCCCCGGGGAUGAGUAGUUACCAGGGCGCUGUUGAGGUGGGUGACACGGAGGUGACCCCAGGAUGGGUAGUUACCAGAGCGCUAUUGAGGUGGGUGACACACAGGAGUGGCCCCAGGGAUGAGUAGUUACCAGGGCCUGUUAGGGUUGGGUUGCCAAGGCGUUCUUGGGUUGGGUGACACAGGAAUGGCCUAUGGGAUAGGUAGUUACCAGGGCGCUGUUGGGGUGGGUGACACAGGAGUGGCCCCAGACCUAGCCCAGCACCAGGGCUAACGUGAAGCCGGGGCAGGGGGAAGGAGGGAGUAAGCGGCUUAAGAUGUCAAAUUUCGUUGUGGGCGGCCAUGAGGCGCUGGAGCGCACAGGGUUAAAGAGCGCCUUUCUCGGGGUCUCCCCUCCUCAACACCCCCUCCCUUCCGGGGGAUUUCGGGCCCCAGCCCCUCUGACGUCAGUGGGGUUGCUAUGGCAACCGCCCGACUUUCCCAAAUAAAAUUACUGCGGGCGAGCAAAGUUUCCUGGAGUCGGCUGCGGAGUAAACAAUGGCAGGGGCGGGGCUCGGCGAGGGGGUCCCGAGGCUGGAGCUGGGGAUCCCUGUCCCAGGCCUCUGGGAGAUGGGUCCGGACAAGGGAACUGAGCGGACGCCUGGGCCGCUCCCACGCGUGCACUUCCUGUCGCCGGCUGCCGGAGGAGCACUUGGGAAGCAGAGGCAAGCUGAUCUCUAAGUUCAAGACCAGCCUGGUUUUACAGAGCUACAUCAUGGAUCAAUUUUGAAGAAACAACAAUAACAACAAAAUAUGUAA